UACAGAGGAUGCAAGCGUUAUCCGGAAUUAUUGGGCGUAAAGCGCACGUAGGCGGCUUUGCAAGUCCCAUGUGAAAUCCCACGCUUAACCGUGGAAGUGCAUGGGAAACUGCAGAGCUUGAGUACUUAAGAGGAUCGCGGAAUUCCCGGUGUAGAGGUGAAAUUCGUAGAUAUCGGGAGGAACACCAGUGGCGAAGGCGGCGAUCUGGGAAGAUACUGACGCUGAGGUGCGAAAGCUAGGGUAGCAAACGGG
rnacentral:rRNA from 1 species